AAGAGUGAGAAGGUCAACCGGAGAUUGAUAUUGUGAAUAUUAUAAAACAUUGUUUUUGUGCAGUAAUACGUUUUACAGUUCAGCUUACUUAGCUGCCGGUGGUUUUUGAAUGUACGUAAAAAAUGUGAGUAACCUAUGAUCGUGAAGAAUGUCAGUUUAAAUGAUGCUACAAUUAGCAUUAGCUGCUGCGCUUGGAUCACUGGGAGAACCAACUGUGUGUGUGCGUGUGCGGCACAAACGUGUUUUCUACCAAGUUUCUGAGAACCCACGUGGGAAGUCUUCAUGGCGCAGCUCGCUGAUCAACAGCAGGUUUAAACUGAUCGUUACUGAAAACUGCUUUUCUGGACAACAGUAACCAUCACGGCCUUCACAAGAACUUUAUCG